CUUUUCGCGACCCCAUUUUGGGUCGCGACCCAUAGUUUGAAUACCACUGUAUUAGUAGGUUGAUGUGGCUGCCACGUAAUUAUGGUCCAGUUGGAUUGAAGAUAUAUCUUCUGUAUGCAUUAUUGUUGUUUGGUCAACUGAAAUAAUACAAUAAUUAUUUAAAAAAGUUUUUCUUAAAUUAUGAUAGGCAAAUUAAAAAAAAAAUGCAUGAAAACAAUUUUAAAUGUUAAAUUGAAACUGCAAUACAAGGUUAAUUCUUACUUAAUGUAUUGGUUGAUGUGGCUGCCACAUAAUCAUGGUCCAGUUGGAUUGAAGAUAAAUCUUCUGUAUGCAUUAUUGUUGUUUGUUCAACUGAAAUAGUACAAUAAUUAUUUUUAAAAGUUCGUCUUAAAUUAUGAUAGGCAAAUUAAAAAAAAAUGUAUAAAAACAAUUUUAGUGUUAAAUUUAAACUGUAACAGAAGGUUAAUUCUUACUUAAUGUAUUGGUUGAUGUAGCUGCCACAUAAUCAUGGUCCAGUUGGAUUGAAGAUAAAUCUUCUGUUUGCAUUACUGUUGUUUGUUCAACUAAAAUAGUACAAUAAUUAUUUUAAAAAGUUCUUCUUAAAUUAUGAUGCAAAUUUAAAAAAAAAUGUAUAAAAACAAUUUUGAAGGUAAAUUAAAAGUUGAUGAAGCUGCCACAUAAUCAUGGUCCAUGUCCAUACUGGAUGAAGAUAAAUCUUUCCUUGGGCUUAAUGUUGUCCGCUUAACUGAAAUAGAUUUUAAAAAGUUGUUAAAUUAUUAUAGGCAAAUAAAAUAAAAUUGUAUAAAAACAAUUUUUAAAGUAAAUAAAAAGUAAAUUAAUUCAAUAUAACAGACUUAUUUACAGCUUUCUCCAUUGUUUAAUGGAGAAAACCAUCCUAGGGAUCGAAUAAUCUCGCAAUAAACGAUAAAACUUCACGUUUUGAAUGGAAUGUAACGCAAAUGAAUAGUAGAAAUUGAUCUUCGAAAUUAUUCCAUAGUAAACCCAAUGUUCGUGGAGAGUUAUCUUCUUCAACCGAAUGAAGAGACGAUUGCGACAAUAAUUCGCGAUGUAAAUAAUUAAGAGCUUUGGAGUUAUUAGAAACCCAUUUCCUUGCGGUAAAACAGCCAGCUUCUAAAACUUUGUUCAGCUGAAAAAUCAUUUCCUGAACUUCAUCGAUGUCGUUAACUCCUGAAAAUAUGUCAUCUACAUAAGUAUUUAAGCAAAGAAUCUCAGAACCCAUUGGAAUAUUUUGUGAAUUUUCGUUAAUGAGCUUCUAAUAGCUAAAUAUGGAGCACUAGAAAGGCCAUAAGUAACGGUGGAGAGCUGGAAUGUUUGAAUUGAAUGAGAGGGAUCUUCUCUCCACACGAUUUGUUGAAAAGGCUGAUCGUCUUUAUGAAUUUGAAUUUGCCUGUACAUUUUCUCCAAAUCACAUGCAAAGACAAUUGGAUAUCGUCUCCAACGAAGCAGAACAUCGACUAGUUCGUUUUGACGUUUUGGUCCGGUAGAUAAACAAUCAUUUUUGUUUUCUGGGAUCCAUUGAAUACAACUCUUAGUUUUGUCGUUGUGCUACUUUCUCGAAUUACACUAUGGUGUGGAAGAUAAUAAUGUAGUGAAUCGAAGGAGGGUGUAGAAACUGGGCGCAUAUGAUUUAGUACGAAAUUUUCGUUCAUGAAUUUAACGUAUUCCCUUUUAAAACUUUCAUUCUUCGCGAAACGUAAUUCUAAUUUACUGAACAUUCGAGAAGCAGCGGAAUAUGAAUUUCCCAAUUUUGCGGGCGAUGUACAGCAUGAAAGUCGGAUCAUGAAUCGUCCAUUGCUAUCUCGAGAAUGUGUGUUCACAAAAUGUUCUUCGCAUUUAUGUUCUUCAUGUGUAAGACGAGGUAAAAUCGAUGAAUUUUCUUCCUGUUUCCAAAAUUUUUGCAUGAGUUCAAGAAAUUCAUAAUCUAUAGAACAUUGGAAUCCAUAAUGCGAUAUCGAUUUGGAAGAUGAGGACAGAAUUCCUGAUAAUAUCCAUCCCAAAGAGGUUUUUUGAGCGAGUAAACAAUCAUCAUAACUUUUACGAAUUUCGUUUUGAAUGAUCUGAGAAUAGAUACUCACUCCGAGGAUCAAAUCAAUUGUCUUUGAUGAAGUAAAAUCUGGAUCAGCUAACAUAAUAUCACUAAAAUCGAAUUCUAGCGUUGUAGGACGUUUCGGUGGAAGGUAUGCGGUCAACUUUGGUAAAAUCAGUGCAUUUUCAGCAAAUGUAAGAGAUUCGUUAAUUCUUGAAAAUAAUUGAAUUUUCACAGUUCCAUUAGAAAUACUGGUCUGUUGAGAUCCGAUUCCAGCAAUAGGUAUACUUUGAGAAUGUCGAGAUAACUUCAAUUGUUGUACUAAGCUUUCAGAAAUGAACGAUACUUCAGACCCCUGGUCAAUGAGGCCCUUACGAGACGACGUUCGCCGAAAUGAGAAAUUAUUCCAACCAGAGAAUGAGAUGGCUGGAAGUUGAUGCGAUUGGCAUGCAAGGAGGAGUAUUUGCUUGAAGUGGAGUUGUAUGUUGAGUGUUCGAUUCUUUUUGAGAUGGUGAAUGGAUGGUACUCAUUGAUGGUUUAGCAUCAUGUAAGGAGGUAUGGUGUUGCUUUUGACAGAUUCGGCAUCUCUUAGUAAUUCUACAGUUUUUUCGAAAGUGUGGUCUAAGACAAUUGAAGCAGAGGUUCUUGGACGCAACAAAAUCUGAACGUUGAUUGGGAGAUUUUUUCAAGUAUUGUUGGCAUGAUGAGAUAUAAUGAGAAUCUUGACAAAGACUGCAGUUGUUGGACGAAGGUGACGCAUUAAGAGAUUUUACAUUUGAAGGUUUGUUGAACGUCGAAGUAUUCAUUUUACGAGUAGCUACUUGUUCUAUUGCUUCUACGGCAUGAAUUCGUCCCAAGAGAAAUGAUUUGAGAUCAUCAAAUGAAGGAGGAUUUUGCUUGUUGGCUAAAGAUUUUUCCCAGCCUUUGAUAGAUUCAACAUCAAGUUUUCGAACAACUAGAUAAACAAGAAUAUUAUCCUACUUGUCAAUGGGACAUCCUAACGUAUCUAAAGCGCCUAGAGACUUUUUAAUUUCCCCUAAUAGUCGCUUUAAUUCAACUGAAGAAUCGUUUUUUAACGGACGAGAUUUACUCCAAAUGUUCAAGGACACGAAAUAAAUGUACACGCGUAACGCACUCGAACGAUCGAAAUUCGAUUUAUCCGGCUCGAAGGACCAAUAAUUUAUGUUUAAGAAAUUGAAGUUUUGUAAGAAUUUGAAAAUUCACUUAAUUAAAUUAAUCGAAUGACAAUGAAUUGUUUGAAAUAAUUGAAUUAAAAGAAAAUUGUCUUACUUCCCAUUUGUUGAAACACUAUUAGAUUAUGUUUUACUUGAAGUUAAAACUGAAUAAGGAGAAGAAAUAAAACAUCUACAUUUGAGAGAAUCAAACCACGUUAUGUCUUCGAGACCACGAGACAAAACCUCUUUUUCAAAAAAAAAAAAAAAACAAAACCAAAGCGUUCGGUCGUUUACGGAAAAAUACGAAACUGAUUUGAAAUUAACAAAUAUCAAAAUGGAAUAAAAUAAAAUUGAAUGAAAAUUAAUAAACAUUUUGAACACUGUCCAAAGGGAAUUUUAUGAUAUUGCACGAUUUCCGUGUGUGAUUGGAGCAAUUGAUUGUACCUAUUUAAUCCCCAGGUGGAGCAUUUGCAGAAAAUUUUAAAAAUUGAAAAGGUUAUUUUUCCAUUAAUGUGCAAACUGUGUCGAAUGCCAAUAUGCGUAUUUUAGAUAUUGUAGCCAGGUGGCCAGGAUCAACGCAUGAUCAAACAAUUUUUAAUAAUAGUUGCCUUAAACACCGUUUAGAAAUUGGCCAGUUUAUUUUUAUUAGAAGAUGGUGGAUACCAAAACAAGAAUUAUUUGUUUGUACCGAUAGACCAACCACAGCGGGAAGCGGAAAGACUCUACAAUGAGUCUCAAAUUAGAACGAGAAAUGUUGUUGAAUGCCAAUAUGGCACAUAGAAAAGAAGAUUCCAAGUGCUGCGGUGGGAAUUAAGAAUUUCAGUUGAAAGGUGCACCAUUUCCUUAUACUGAAAUAAUCGUUCAUGUAUAUUGCUAAGAUAAAAAGAUGUUUAGGUUAACGAUGAUAUAAUUUUAUUAUUCGCAAUUGGUGCUACAAAUGUUUCGACAGCCUAGCUGUCUUCUUCAGGCACGACUAAAACCGUAAAGAAAAGAAAAGGUCAGUGAUGAACAUAAAACUAAAGUAAAAUAAAGGAACAUUACCGUCAGAAAUGUGGGGACCUUGUGAGAUCUACAUGUAGGCAAUGUUAUACAGUUUCCUUAAACUCUUUACAGUCAAAUGACAACAAAAUGGUUAACAUGUAUCGGGUUAUACUUUUAGAACUGCAUGGAAACAAGAUUUAUAUCAGUCUCAUCCACGAGAAAAGGUCAAUUUUUCAAACCAAGUUCUUAAACAAAGAUAAAACGAAAAAUCAAAAUUAAAAUUAAAGGGCAAACAACAAAAACUUACAAAUUUC
rnacentral:lncRNA from 1 species